ACCACCAGAUCGGAGCUCCUCCGAUCCACCCGGCCCAGCCAGGUUGAACGCCGCCCCGUUCUCAUCUGCGGGAUCCCGGUUGCCGCCUCACCCACGACCCUCUCCUCCGCGGCCCAGUCCGCUCGAACGCCGCCGCCCUCCUCACUGGCGGGAUCGGAGCCGCCAGCCUCACCCGCGGGAUCGGAGCCGCCGGCCACCGCCCACCUCGCCUGAGGGAUAGGAUACCACUACUCUUCUACACCGACCCAUCACCGGCCACCGGUGGUGCAUCACCUGCUUCGCCUUACUGCGCCGUUUCGAAGAAACUGUGGGUGGAAAUUCCCGAACCGCUGCACCGACGGUGGUGUGAUGCCGGCGAUGGGUCAGCUGGCAAUUCGAUAUGCGAGGAUGUCGCUGCCAACUCGGGAGCGAAAAUGGAACAUAUAUCAAUCUUGUAAUGGAUGUUCGGGAUGCUUUUGAGGGAAAUGAUUUGGUGAAAUGUUGAUUGCGAGGGUUUGGAACCAAGUGACAGCAAAAAAAAUGAAGCAAAGCUGAAGGAUCUUGUUCCUUGUGUUCUCCUGUCAUUUGACAAUGAGCAGAUAUUAAUCUACAGAGGCAGUGAAUGGAACUCUAGAUACUCAGCCUCCCACUAUCACUCCAAAAGUUCAAAAGAAUAAUCUGACAGUGUCAACUGCUUUGAGUAACUCAGGAUGGGUGGUUAGAAGAGCUGGAAGGGAAGGCGCAAGAACAUGAUAAGAAGGAUGUUGCACAACAAGAGAAGAUAAAGGAGCUCUAGAUUGUUGUAGAGAAGAUUAUCAGUUUUUACUGGCGGCCGUUAGAAGCUGUAUAGAAGAUGAUGCAUUUUUAUUAGAUUCAAGUGAGAUUAUUCAGAUUUGCAUAAAAAAGCUGUAUAGAAGUUGAUGCAUUUUUAUUAGAUUCAAGUGAGAUUAUUCAGAUUUGCAUAAAAAGUGCCGAGGAUCGUGCAAAGCUAAAUUAUCUUUGUUGUUGCUGCUUA